rnacentral:rRNA from 1 species
CGCAGAGGGGGGUGGAAUUCCACGUGUAGCAGUGAAAUGCGUAGAGAUGUGGAGGAACACCAAUGGCGAAGGCAGCCCCCUGGGUCGAUACUGACGCUCAUGCACGAAAGCGUGGGUAGCAAACAGGAUUAGAUACCCUGGUAGUCCACGCCCUAAACGAUGUCAACUAGGUGUUGGGAGGGUAAAACCUUUUAGUGCCGUAGCUAAC